AAACAUGUCUUUUUGAGAUAAUUUUAAAGUCUAACCUGCCCACUGAAAAUUUUAAAUGGCCGCAGUAUACUAACUGUGCAAAGGUAGCAUAAUCAUUAGUCUUUUAAUUGAAGGCUGGUAUGAAUGGUUGGACGAGGUAUUAACUGUUUCAAGUAAAAUUUUUAUAGAAUUUUAUUAUUUAGUCAAAAAGCUAAAAUUUAAUUAAAAGACGAGAAGACCCUAUAAAUCUUUAUACUAAUUUUAUUUUAAUUAUGAAGAUAUUUUUUGUUAUAAUAAUUUUUGGUAUUUUAUUGGGGUGAUAUUAAAAUUUAAAUAACUUUUAAUUUGAAAAUCCAUUAAUUUAUGAAUAAUUGAUCCAUUAAUAAUGAUUAAAAAAUUAAGUUACUUUAGGGAUAACAGCGUAAUUUUUUUGGAGAGUUCAUAUCGAUAAAAAAGAUUGCGACCUCGAUGUUGGAUUAAGAAAAAGUUUAGGUGUAGCCGCUUAAAUAUUAAGUCUGUUCG
rnacentral:rRNA from 1 species